GCCUAAAGCGUCCGUAGCCGGCUUUGUAAGUUUUCGGUUAAAUCUAUAUGCUCAACAUAUAGGCUGCCGGGAAUACUGCAAAGCUAGGGAGUGGGAGAGGUAGACGGUACUCCGUAGGAAGGGGUAAAAUCCUUUGAUCUAUGGAUGACCACCUGUGGCGAAGGCGGUCUACCAGAACACGUCUGACGGUGAGGGAUGAAAGCUGGGGGAGCAAACCGGAUUAGAUACCCGGGUAGUCCCAGCUGUAAACUAUGCAAACUCAGUGAUGCAUUGGCUUGUGGCCAGUGCAGUGCCGCAGGGAAGCCGUUAAGUUUGCCGCCUGGGAAGUACGUACGCAAGUAUGAAACUUAAAGGAAUUGGCGGGGGAGCACCACAAGGGGUGAAGCCUGCGGUUCAAUUGGAGUCAACGCCAGAAAUCUUACCCGGAGAGACAGCAGAAUGAAGGUCAAGUUGAAGCCUUUACCAGACAAGCUGAGAAGUGGUGCAUGGCCGUCGCCAGCUCGUGCCGUGAGGUGUCCUGUUAAGUCAGGUAACGAGCGAGAUCCUUGCCUCUAGUUGCCACCAUUACUCUCAGGAGUAGUGGGGCGAAUUAGCGGGACUGCCGUAGUUAAUACGGAGGAAGGAGAGGGCCACGGCAGGUCAGUAUGCCCCGAA
rnacentral:rRNA from 1 species